CCCUUAGACGUUCUGGGCCGCACGCGCGCUACACUGACGAAGGCAACGAGCUUUCCUUUACCGAAAGGUACGGGUAAUUUUUUGAAACUUCGUCGUGCUGGGGAUAGAUCCUUGCAAUUUUUGAUCUUAAACGAGGAAUGCCUAGUAAGCGCAAGUCAUCAACUUGCGUUGAUUACGUCCCUGCCCUUUGUACACACCGCCCGUCGCUACUACCGAUUGAAUGGUUUAGUGAGGCCUUCGGAUCCGCGACUCGUUUGUGGAGAAGUUGGACAAACUCAGUCAUUUAGAGGAAGUAAAAGUCGUAACA
rnacentral:rRNA from 1 species